rnacentral:rRNA from 1 species
UACGUAGGGACCAAGCGUUGUUCGGAUUUACUGGGCGUAAAGGGCGGCGUAGGCGGCGUGACAAGUCACUUGUGAAAUCUCUGGGCUUAACCCAGAACGGCCAAGUGAUACUGUCGCGCUAGAGUGCGGAAGGGGCAAUCGGAAUUCCCGGUGUAGCGGUGAAAUGCGCAGAUAUCGGGAAGAACACCCGGUGGCGAAGGCGGUUCUCUGGGACGGUACUGACGCUGAGACGCGAAAGCGUGGGGAGCGAACAGG